rnacentral:rRNA from 2 species
UGAGGAAUAUUGGUCAAUGGACGCAAGUCUGAACCAGCCAUGCCGCGUGCAGGAUGACGGCUCUACGAGUUGUAAACUGCUUUUGUAUGAGGGUAAACUUAGAUACGUGUAUCUAACUGAAAGUAUCAUACGAAUAAGGAUCGGCUAACUCCGUGCCAGCAGCCGCGGUAAUACGGAGGAUCCAAGCGUUAUCCGGAUUUAUUGGGUUUAAAGGGUGCGUAGGCGGUUUGAUAAGUUAGAGGUGAAAGCUCGGGGCUCAACUCCGGAACUGCCUCUAAUACUGUUGAACUAGAGAGUAGAUGCGGUAGGCGGAAUGUAUGGUGUAGCGGUGAAAUGCGUAGAGAUCAUACAGAACACCGAUUGCGAAGGCAGCUUACCAAACUAUAUCUGACGUUGAGGCACGAAAGCGUGGGGAGCAAACAGG